UAUGAAAAGCAUAUAAAAUAAGAACAGAAACGAACAAUCAAUUUUAAUACAAAUGGAAGCGGGAACUAUCAUCCACAACGCCAUUCCAUGGAAACCCAAACGCCAAACCCGACGUUCAGUCUCUGCUCACCUCCUCAAUUUCCGUUGCUUCGUCAGGGCUUCUUCAAAUUCACAGGGUGGAUAUAGAGGACCCAAGCCGAGGAGAGAUUGGGUUGCAGAUUUCGUAUCGAACAACGACGACACCGUUCGAAGCCUGCCGAUAUACGUUGGAGGUGUUUCUCUAUUGGCUGUGCUCUUGAAUCGAACCGCUGCUAAUAUAGCUCCAGUUGCCGAUGCCAGUAGUUCACAGUCCAGAGCUGAUUUAUUGACACUUGGAUUGGCUGUGACCAAUAUAUUAACAGGUCUCAUAUGGCUCACUAUCAAGCCAAAGUCCAUAUCUGCGGUAGAUCCUCAAGGAGUGGAGUGUCGCAUUAUUUAUUCCCACCUCCAUGAUUUUGUGGUUUCUGAGCUAUUAUGGGUAUGGGAAUCUCUGUCAGCUGUUACUUGCUGCAGAUCUCUAGUUAUUGUCUAUGAUAGCAUUUGUCUUCUACAAAUUGGUGUGGCAGCUGAAUCUCACAAUAAGGGUGAAGCACUGGCUGUGGAUGCUGCCAAAUUGAUGCAAGGUUCACUUUAUCAAGCUGUCAUGAAGUCUGGAGCUCAGAAUUAUUUGGCCAAUCUCUCUCUCUAUCCUGGGAGAUCUGAGCUGCCAUUUUUCCCUUCAAAUACACAGGCAGUGAUUUUACAGCCACUUGGAGCCAAAGGAAUUGCAAUAAUUGGUGGUCACACAAUUAGGGGUUUCACAAGUUCUGACCAGGCAUGGAUUACGUUUAUUGGGGACAAACUUGAUUCUACACUAGGAAAGUAUGCGAUCAACAGGCCAUUGGCAGUGCAAGAUAGAGUUUGAACCGAGCACUUGUAGGUUCUUUCGAACUCAUGUAUGUUACUAUGUUCCAUAUUUGAUGUAUCCUUUAUGCGAGUUUAUAUUGAGACCGGAACAAAGGUAUCAAGAUUCCAGAUUCAACAUCCUACAUGGUGCCAGGCAAUUCUAUGCUACUCCUGAUCCUCAAUUUUAUGAUAUUGUGAAUUCUAAUGUAUGCGUUCUCGCACUUACUUUGGAACAUUUAUUUUUUCUUAGAGAUUAUUUUGAUACUAGCAGUGAUAUGGAUUCCCCAGUUUAGCAUGAGUACAUGUAAUUGACAAUCUGUGAAUAGUGAUGUAAAGAUAAAUUAUUGGGACGUGAUUUGACUAAUUUUGUCCUUUGUUUAUUGCAUUAA